AGAGUUUGAUCAUGGCUCAGGAUUAACGCUGGCAGUGUGUCUAAUACAUGCAAGUCGACUGCGCACCGGGAUCGUUCAUCUUCGGAGCAGUACAAAAGGUGCGCAGGGCAGACGGGUGAGUAGCACGUUGGUAUCUGCCCCGAACUCAGGGAUAACCCGCCGAAAGGCGGAAUAAUACCGGAUAGUACCCGCACCUUUUCGGCCUCAAUGAGCAUUUUGUUCUUCAUCGAACGAGUGCUGUCCAUUUGAGAGCGAAAAGGUGUGGGUUAAAGAUUUAUCGGUUCGGGAGGAGCCUGCGCAAUAUCAGCUUGUUGGUGAGGUAACGGCUCACCAAGGCUCUGACGUUUAGCUGGUCUGAGAGGAUGAUCAGCCACAAUGGAACUGAGACACGGUCCAUACUCCUACGGGAGGCAGCAGUAAAGAAUCUUCCGCAAUGGGCGAAAGCCUGACGGAGCAACACUGCGUGGUGGAUGAAGGCCUUCGGGUCGUAAACACCUUUUCUGGGGGAAGAAGUUCUGACGGUACCCCAGGAAUAAGCGACGGCUAAUUACGUGCCAGCAGCCGCGGUAAUACGUAAGUCGCAAGCGUUAUCCGGAAUCAUUGGGCGUAAAGCGUCCGUAGGCGGUUUUGUCAGUCUGUGGUUAAAUCCCUUCGCUCAACGGAGGAAUCGUCACGGAAACUGCGAAACUUGAGUAGUGCAGGGGCAGAUGGAAUUCCAGAAGUAGGGGUAAAAUCCGUAGAUCUCUGGAGGAACACCAAACGCGAAGGCAGUCUGCUGGGCACUUACUGACGCUGAGGGACGAAAGCAUGGGUAGCGAACGGGAUUAGAUACCCCGGUAGUCCAUGCCGUAAACGAUGGAUACUCGGUUUUGGGGGAUUCGACCCCUUCAGAGCCUAAGCUAACGCAUUAAGUAUCCCGCCUGGGUAGUACGGCCGCAAGGUUAAAACUCAAAGGAAUAGACGGGGACCUACACAAGCGGUGGAGCAUGUGGUUUAAUUCGAUAGUAAGCGGGAAACCUUACCAGGGCUUGACAUCCUGAGAAUUCCCUAGAAAUAGGGAAGUGCCUUUUUGGAACUCAGUGACAGGUGUUGCAUGGUUGUCGUCAGCUCGUGCCUUGAGGUGUUCUGUUAAGUCAGUAAACGAGCGCGACCCUCGUCGUAUGUUGUAUUUUUCAUGCGAGACUGCCGACUCCAAGUCGGAGGAAGGUGAGGACGACGUCAAAUCAGCAUGGCCCUUAUGCCCUGGGCUACACACGUGCUACAAUGGCUGGAACAAAGGGUAGCCAAGUCGUAAGACGGAGCCAAUCCCAUCAAAUCCAGUCUCAGUUCGGAUUGAGGGCUGCAAUUCGCCCUCAUGAAGUUGGAAUCGCUAGUAAUCGUGAAUCAGCAUGUCACGGUGAAUAUGUUCCUAGGUCUUGUACUCACCGCCCGUCAAGUCAUGGAAGCUGGGGGUACCAGAAGUCCCACAAUAAAGUGGGCCCAAGGUAAAACCAGUGACUAGGACUAAGUCGUAACAAGGUA
rnacentral:rRNA from 1 species